UGCGUAGGCGGGUUGGUAAGUCCGUGGUGAAAUCUCCAAGCUUAACUUGGAAACUGCCGUGGAUACUACCAAUCUUGAAUUUAGUGGAGGUGAGCGGAAUAUGUCAUGUAGCGGUGAAAUGCUUAGAUAUGACAUAGAACACCCAUUGCGAAGGCAGCUCGCUACACUAUUAUUGACGCUGAGGACAAAGCGUGGGGAUCAAACA
rnacentral:rRNA from 1 species